rnacentral:rRNA from 1 species
UACGGAGAGUGCAAGCGUUGUUCGGAAUUACUGGGCGUAAAGCGCGUGUAGGCGGCCUGACAAGUCUGGCGUGAAAGCCCGGGGCUCAACCCCGGAAGUGCGCUGGAAACUGUUGGGCUUGAGUACUGGAGGGGAAGGUGGAAUUCUCGAGUGUAGAGGUGAAAUUCGUAGAUAUUCGGAAGAACAUCAGUGGCGAAGGCGACCUUCUGGACAGAUACUGACGCUGAGACGCGAAAGCGUGGGGAGCAAACAGG